rnacentral:rRNA from 1 species
AAGAUGGUUAUCUUGCACUGAAUACAUAGGUGCAAGAGGCGAACCAGGGGAACUGAAACAUCUAAGUACCCUGAGGAAAAGAAAUCAACCGAGAUUCCCUUAGUAGUGGCGAGCGAACGGGGACUAGCCCUUAAGCUUCUUUGAUUUUAGCGGAACGCUCUGGAAAGUGCGGCCAUAGUGGGUGAUAGCCCUGUACGCGAAAGGAUCUUAGAAGUGAAAUCGAGUAGGACGGAGCACGAGAAACUUUGUCUGAAUAUGGGGGGACCAUCCUCCAAGGCUAAAUACUACUGACUGACCGAUAGUGAACUAGUACCGUGAGGGAAAGGCGAAAAGAACCCCGGAGAGGGGAGUGAAAUAGAUCCUGAAACCGUAUGCGUACAAGCAGUGGGAGCAGACUUUGUUCUGUGACUGCGUACCUUUUGUAUAAUGGGUCAGCGACUUAUUUUCAGUGGCGAGCUUAACCGAAUAGGGGAGGCGUAGCGAAAGCGAGUCUUAAUAGGGCGUCUAGUCGCUGGGAAUAGACCCGAAACCGGGCGAUCUAUCCAUGGGCAGGUUGAAGGUUAGGUAACACUGACUGGAGGACCGAACCGACUACCGUUGAAAAGUUAGCGGAUGACCUGUGGAUCGGAGUGAAAGGCUAAUCAAGCUCGGAGAUAGCUGGUUCUCCUCGAAAGCUAUUUAGGUAGCGCCUCAUGUAUCACUGUAGGGGGUAGAGCACUGUUUCGGCUAGGGGGUCAUCCCGACUUACCAAACCGAUGCAAACUCCGAAUACCUACAAGUGCCGAGCAUGGGAGACACACGGCGGGUGCUAACGUCCGUCGUGAAAAGGGAAACAACCCAGACCGUCAGCUAAGGUCCCAAAGUUAUGGUUAAGUGGGAAACGAUGUGGGAAGGCUUAGACAGCUAGGAGGUUGGCUUAGAAGCAGCCACCCUUUAAAGAAAGCGUAAUAGCUCACUAGUCGAGUCGGCCUGCGCGGAAGAUGUAACGGGGCUCAAACCAUACACCGAAGCUACGGGUAUCACGUAAGUGAUGCGGUAGAGGAGCGUUCUGUAAGCCUGUGAAGGUGAGUUGAGAAGCUUGCUGGAGGUAUCAGAAGUGCGAAUGCUGACAUGAGUAACGACAAUGGGUGUGAAAAACACCCACGCCGAAAGACCAAGGUUUCCUGCGCAACGUUAAUCGACGCAGGGUUAGUCGGUCCCUAAGGCGAGGCUGAAAAGCGUAGUCGAUGGAAAACAGGUUAAUAUUCCUGUACUUCUGGUUAUUGCGAUGGAGGGACGGAGAAGGCUAGGCCAGCUUGGCGUUGGUUGUCCAAGUUUAAGGUGGUAGGCUGAGAUCUUAGGUAAAUCCGGGAUCUUAAGGCCGAGAGCUGAUGACGAGUUACCCUUUGGGUGACGAAGUGGUUGAUGCCAUGCUUCCAAGAAAAGCUUCUAAGCUUCAGA